UAGUACAGGGGCCCUGGAGUGGCCUGGGUCAGUCCCUCCACAGACAACAAGGUGGGAGGGCACCGGUUGUGGCUGGCGACAGCGCCUUUGAAACCCCACGCAGGGCCUGAGGGCUCUUUCACCUUGGGAGCGGGGAACAAAGCGGGUAGCUUAGCAAAGUUUGGCGGCGUGGGGUGGCCUCUGCGAGCGGAACACUGGUGCGCGGCCCGCGGGCAGCCCGGGCGCCUUUGAAGGUAGGACCGUCGCGCGGCAACGCGCGAAGCGGGCGGAAAUGGGGCUGGUGUCCAACGCCCGGGACGCGGAGAACCGAGAGCCUUCUAGCACCAUUGUCCGCCCAGAACCGCUUAACACGGUGCCGAACCCCCAUCCCACACUGUCGCCCGGAGACGCGGCCCGGGGGGCCAGUCGCUGCUGGAUCCCCUGCAGCCUGGUGAGCGAGCACACUCUUUUGCACUUCAGUCACUCCCAGAGGCUGAGGUGGGAAUGGGAUGAGAAUUUGCCCCCUAAUCUGUUGAGGUCUCUCACCACCCCUCAGAUCAGAGCAUCAACAUCUUGCCUCCAAUCCUUCCUUAGACAUGAGGAGCUUCUUGUUUUGUUUUGCUUUUAAGGUAAGCUUUGUAGAUAAAGCAUAUUACACAAAGCAAGUGCACAAGUAAUGUGUGCACAACUUUUGAAUUUAGCCAUUGUGAACAUACCAAGUAACCAACUCCUCCCCGCAGAACAUGUUUAUUAUUAGACUAAAGUGUUUCUCUUCAGACUAUAGUUAUAGGGCAUUUUCUUUAGUUCCUGUGGAAAAGUGUUCGCCAGCAGGAUGUAAUGGUGUCUUGACUGAGCUGGUGUGUCUUGAAGGGCUGAUGCUAAAAGGCUUGGAGUGUGCUGGGUGGUCCUUUGUGGCAGUACCUAGCUAAACAUGUUGGGCCCCUCACAGUGCCUCUAAGUGUCUAAUGGCCCUCUGGAGGGAGGCCCUGAAGAAGGGACAGGAAGAGAAAUUGGGGCAUCAGGUUUUCCUUUGUGGGCAUCCACCAGUUGCCUGGGGAAGGGGCAUUUGGGAGUCCUGUAGCUUGACUCAGGGGUACCCUUCACAAUUAGAACUCACAGCUGUGAAAUCCGCUCUUUCCCAAGCUGGUGAACCUGUGGCAUGCAGCAGGCUGUUCAUAGCAUUGCAAGCUCCAAAAGGUUUGCCAUCACUGGCCUAGGUCUUCCAGCCCCUGGUUUGGCCUACCUGCAGGAAAACAGGGCCACUGGAUUAUAGUCUCUUAAGUUCCUGGCAUUUGUGUCUGUGUUAGGUCCCUCCCUGGCCUGUGUCCUUGUCUGUCCUUAAGGGGUUGGUGAACUCUGGACUUGGAGUUCCCGGGCUCAGUCCAAGGCUUGUGUCCCCCUGCUCAGGUGUGGGUUCUAUCUUGGAGGACUUUGCUUGGGUGACUGCUCUGUCCUUCAUGGAGGUAAAGAAGACAAAUGUGAGCGUGUACACCCUGCUAGCAAGGUGGUCCUUCUGGUUGGCCUGUCGCAGGGACUCAGGUGGAAGAAUGAGAAAACCUGCCCAACUCAGUAGAGAGUACUUACAAGGAAACACACAAUCCCCAACCAGCUUGGGGAAAGGCUCAGGCCCUGCAGAAUUUAAUACUCACUGCUACUUGGGCCUUUGCUUGCUGCUUAAGGCCACUCUGAGGUAGUGAGAGGCCAAGAAGGCUGGCGUCUCUUCAUUCUGAGAACAUGACAGCAUUUUCCAUACCUCCCAAGUCCCAUGCCCACCCACCCCACGUCUGGAUGGCUACAUGGUUGGAGAAAUACAUCCUAAAAGAGGGAAAAUGCUCUCCAUCUUGUAGCCCUUUCCUAAGUGGCUGUUGGGGAUCCCAGGGAAACAUGGGCACUGCAAGUAUGGUGGAGGGUCGCAGUGAGGACAGAAACUCCAUGAUAGCUGAACCUGUUUCCUGACUACAGUGAUAGGUGGAUGCCCUCCCUGCCAUGGAGGGGGAGGUACCUUCAGGAAGGGAGAAGUCCAGGUUCUGGGCUUUUCCCCAGGUACCUUCUGGGGUGCUGCACAAGUACCCACAGGCUCUAGCUAUGUACAUUCUUCUGGUUUCCUUGGCCCAAAAGAUUGUUUUAAAUUCGUGUUUUUAUUCUUAAGAGCUUAAUCAGUAAAUCCUGGUUAAAAUUGUAAUUUGUGUUAUUUUGUUGAGACUCCACACUUCAAUGUACUACACAUAAAUAAACCUCUUUAGCUCACACCUGUAAUCCCAGCAUUUAGGAGGCUGAGGCAGGAGGAUUGUUGCAAGUUCGAGACCAGCCUGGGCUAC
ensembl:lincRNA uncharacterized LOC102028258